AAAGAAAAAUUACCCAGGGAUGUGCUUCAAGCGUUGAGUAAUGGCUCUGUGGAUCCAGCAGUGAACAAAACAGAAAAAUCAAAGCCAUUUCAGUUGGUUGGCCCUCAGAGCUCCCCGUUAGCUAAAGUGCGUAGCCCAUGGCUGGUCCCUAGCGGGCACCGAGCAGCAUGAACGUCAAGCGGGGACUCCAGUGAGAUGCAGGCCUCCGAGACUGUGGUGCACACACUGAGCCAGCGCUGUGGGAUAGCGGGUGAGGCUGCUCCCUGUACUCCGACCUCCCAGAUGGGCGCAGGUUCGAGUCCCGGCUGCUCCACUUGCGAACCAGCAGCAGAAGAUGGCCUAAGUGCUUGGGCCCCUGCACCCACAUGGGAGACCUGGAAGAAGCUCCUGGCUCCCGGUUUGGCUUAGCCCAUCCUGGACUGCUGCAGUCAUUUGGGGGGGGGUGGGGUUUGAACCAGCAGGUGGAAGACCUCUAUCUGUCUUCUGUAACUCUUCCUUUCAAACGAUUACAAUAAAUCUUUAAAAAGUGCAAUACUCCUCCCUGGCGUGGAGGGAGGUGUCCUACUCACCUGAGUUAAGUUGGGAAUCCCAGACCCAAUCUCACCUGUGGGAUACGUGUAGGGCUCCCAACCUUGUCCAUGCUUUGGAACCACCUGGGAGCCUUCAAAAACCGCAGCUCUCCUGGGCCUUCAUUCUCCGACUGAUUAAAUCUUGGACAGGGGGCCAGGAACUGAGAGUGUCUUUUAUCCUCAAGUGAUGCUCAUGUACACAGCCCUGUAUAAGAGUGAAUCAAGUGAUUCGUGAUUGCCUUAAUUCACGAGGAGCCUUACGAUGGACCUAACUUCAACUGAUUGACGGGCCCUCUAGUGGGCGGUGGAGUGUGAGUGGGUUCUCCCCUGCUGUCUCCAGCCCAGUCAGGCCCAGGGCCACCUUGGGAGUGACUGAUGCAGUGCUGUCCCCUCCACACGGCACAGCAAUAGAGAGGGGGUUGUGAAAUGAAGCUGUGAUGACAGAGCAGAUCAGCGAUCAGGAGGAGGUGGGGGAGAUCUCAGAGGAGCAGAAGCUUGAGCAGGGGAUGGAUGUGUUCAUUGUUUUGAUUGUGAUGGUGGUGUUGGGGCUCAUAACACAGCCCCCUGGAAUACUGAUUAAAUUAAAGGUCCUUGGAGAGCAGCAGAUGCUUGAAGAGGCUUUACUUCGGCCAGCGCUGCGGCUCAAUGGGCUAAUCCUCCGCCCACGGCGCCAGCACACCGGGUUCUAGUCCCGAUUGGGGCGCCGGAUUCUGUCCUGGUUGCCCCUCUUCCAGGCCAGCUCUCUGCUGUGGCCAGGGAGUGCAGUGGAGGAUGGCCCAAGUGCUUGGGCCCUGCACCCCAUGGGAGACCAGGAUAAGUACCUGGCUCCUGCCAUCGGAUCAGCGUGGUGUGCCGGCCACAGCGGCCACUGGGGGAAGAACCAACAGAAAAGGAAGACCUUUCUCUGUUUCUAUCUCUCUCUCACUGUCCACUCCGCCUGUCAAAAAAAUUUUUUUAAAAAUGAAGAGGCUUUGCUCUGAUUUUCUCUUAUCUGCCUGAUUGGACUGCCACAGAGGAGAAUAGUUGUCCUGGGGCCAGCAUUGUGGCGCUGGGGGUGAAGCCUCUGCCUCCAGUGCCUGCUUCCCACAUGAGCACCAGUUCAAGUCUUGGCUGCUCUGCUUUGGCUCCAGCUCCCUGCUGUUGUGCCUGGGAAGACAGCAGAAGAUGGCCAAGUAACUGAGCUCCUGCUACCCACAUCGCAGACCCAAAUGGAUAUCCAGGCUCCUGGCUUCAGCCUGGCUCAGCCCUGGCUGUUGCAGCCAUUUGGGGGGUGGAUAUAAAUUCCCUCUGUCUCUGCCGCUCUCUGUCUGUAAUUCUGCUUUUCAGAUACAUACAUAAAUCUUAUGAAAAGGGGAAGGAAUGAAAUGCGUCCCAUUUCACAGUGAGCCUGUGUUUAACACCUGGCUCGGCCUCCUGGUGCCUAUGAAUGCACACCUGGAGACAACAAGCGAUGGGCCAGAUAGCGGGGUUCUGGUCACCCACUUUGGAGAACUGCACUGAGAUCCUGGCUCCCAGCUUUGGCCUGGCCCAGUUCCAGCCUCAUUCGUGUGAGCCAGAAGAUGGGCACGCUUGCUCACUCACUCUCAAGUAAUUAAAAAAAUAUAUACUUGGGGUGGGGAGUGCUGGCAUGGUGGUGCAGUGGGGUAAGCCUCUGCCUGUGAUGACAGCAUCCCGUAUGAGAGCUCCUAUUUGAGUCCCAGCUGCUCCACCUCGAAUCCAGCUCCCUGCUAAUGUAUGCCUGGGAAGGCAGCAGAAGGUGGCCCAAGUACUUGGGCCUUUGCCACCCACGUAUGAGGCCCAGGUGGAGUUCUGGGCUUCUGGCUUCAGUCUGGACCAGUCCCAACUGUUUCAGCCAUUUUGGAAGUGAACUAGCAAAUGGAGGAUAUUCUCUCUUUCUCUUUCUCUUUCUCUUUCUCUUUCUCUUUCUCUUUCUCUUUCUCUUUCUCUUUCUCUUUCUCUUUCUCUCUUUCUCUCUUUCUCUCUCUCUCUCUCUCUUUCUCUCUUUCUCUUUCCUCCUCCCACUGCCCAUCACUCUACACUGACUUUUGAAUGGGCACAAGCCCUUUAAUGACCAAAUGCAUUUCCAUGAGGGACCUGGCUGUGUGAUCCUGGCAUCCUUGGUUCCUGCCCUCUCACCCACUUUUCUUGGGCUCUUCCCUUGCAUGGUACUCCCCUUGGCUCCAGAUCACACAUACAAGGGUCUCUGGGCCAACAAGCUCCCAGAACACUGUCACCUCAGCCUAAGAGUGGCAAUGGUCUCUCCACAAGUUUGCCUUUUGCACAGUGAUUGUCUACUAGACCCCACAGCACGUAGGGGACAAAUGUUACAGACUCAUAUGUCCUCAUUAGUAUUCCAAAAUGUGUGGAUAGCAUAAAUACAAACAAAACAAUUUUUAAAAAUCAACAAAUGCCUCAACUAUAAAGAAGAAUAAUUUAUUUUCAAUAUGUAAAUUCUGUAACUCAAUUACAUAAUCAAAUAAUUGAGUAAUUAUACCAAUUUCUUUUUUUAAAAAAGAUUUAUUUAUUUAUUUGAAAGUCAGUGUUACACAGAGAGAAGGAGAGGCACAGAGAGAGAGAGAUAGAGAGGUCUUCCAUCCACUGGUUCACUCCCCAGUUGGCUGCAGUGGCUAGAGCUGCGCGCGUCUGAAGCCAGGAGCCAGAAGCUUCCUCCAGGUCUCCCACACAAGUGCAGGGGCCCAAGGACUUGGGCCAUCUUUCAGUUUUCCCAGGCCAUAGCAGAGAGCUGGAUUGGAAGUGGAGCAGCUGGGACUCAAACCAGCGCCCACAUGGGAUGCUUGCGCUUUAGGUGGCGGCUUUACCCACUAUGCCACAGCACCAGCCCCUAAUUAUACCGAUUUCUAAUAAAAUGCUCUUUUAAAGAUUUCUGACACUUUAAAAUAAUUAUAGCUCUCUAUAGACAAGUGAGAUCACUAUGAAUACAACUGAUACUAAUGUAGACAUACCCUGUAUGUUGCCUUGGCAACUGAGAUAUCAGAUAGAAUAACUUGAUUUUCUAAAAUGGUGAACAACUUGGUAAAAUUCCAAAGUAUGACUUUCCCUCAACGUAAAAGAAAGCUGCUUUCCUAGAAAAUUUAAUGUUUCUAGAAAAAUUCAGCUAAAAUGUAACAAACAUUUAAGGCUUGAUAUAAGCAGGUUUUUUAGCUACAUGGAAGCACCUGCAGGACAUCAACAUCCCUGACCCCCCACCCAUGAAUGCUGGCCUCCCUCCUCUCAGUCACUGCAGAAACCAAAAAGUCCUUACUUACUUCCCAGUUGCCCCCUCCACUCUGACCCUGCCCUCUUUGGAGACUAACCUUGACAAACAGAUACAUUCAAAAUAAGGUUCACUAAUCCUAAGGCCAUUGAAGAAAAAUAUUUCUUAAAAACAAAUAAGAAAAAUGUGGGGCUUUCCAAACCAUAGGGUCACUGUCUUCUGGGCACAACAUUCCACAGAAUGAACAGUCUCCCCUUCCGUGAGUCCCUUUCUGCUUGAUGGGUUCCUGAAGCUUUAUGUCUUGGGAGCUUGGGCACUAGUGUGGUGAUGAAGGUGGGGAAAUGUUAAGGGGGAGGGGCUUCUGGGAGGUCCUGGUCCACUGGGGGCACUGCCCUUAGAAAGAGCCAAGAUGCCUCUCACGGGGCUGUGCUAGUUGUUAGAAAAGCCUGAGCCUGACUCGGAACCACUCGCUGGCUUCCUGUCCUGGGAUGUGCCCCUCCCUCCUGCCAUCUCCAAACUGAUGCUAAUGCGGCGCCAUGCCCUUCAGAACUAUUAGCUACAUAAACAUCUUUUCUUUAUAAAGUUAGCUUGCUUCAGCUUAUUCAUUAUAGUAGUGAGGAAUACACUGUCACGCACAGAGAGACAGCUCUGUGCAGAGUCAGUUGCUACUUCAAUGAUCAUGGUGUCUCAUGAGAAUUGAUAGAUACAACAGGCCACAUCGGUGGUUUGGUUGCUUGCUUGCUUAUUGGUUUGCCAUUAUCCUCAACUACAAAAUGGGCUACCAGAUAGGUCCACGGAGAUCUACUUUCUGAAUAGCAACUCUUAUCUUUCCCUCUAAGCCUCCUGUCUUCACUGUUUCUCAUACCGCUCAAGCAAAGGAGAGAGUGAGUGUUCAUGUUUCGUGACCCUAUACCCACGGUCUUUCCUCAAACUUGUAUGUCAUACUUUCUAAAUUAAGUCAAGUUUGGCCUGGCACUGCCCCUACACAUAUUUGAAGCUUGACCUAAAAUUACUCCAUACAUAGUGAACUGCAAACUCACUCAUUGCAUAAAUAGACUGCAGCCUACUCUUAGAACAAGUAGUUGAGUCUCAGCCAGUCACAGCAGCUGAGCUUCAGUCAGCCAGCGACAGCCGACUAUUCAAACUAGAUUCAAAUAAGGCAAGCGCUAAACUUGAACUAAUCUAUCUGUCUUUGGACUCAUUUCCAUUUCCUGUAUGUGAUUUGCUUUUUCUGUCUGUAAAUGUUACCCAGUCCCGUGGCAGAACCUAUAAAACCUAGGGCUACCUCAUUCACAAAUUACUCCUGCUCCAUAAACUCUGUUGAAUGUAACAUGUCUGAUGUUUGUCAUUUACUAAUCACACCCCAGCCCUUGGCCACUUCGGACCUUCAUUGGUACAGGUAAACACAGCCACAGAAACACACAUGAUGAAUCUGAUUAGCCUUUAAAUUUAUAACCACCAUAUGCUUGUGAUUAUAAAUUUAAAGUAUGUCAUUGCAAAAAUAAAAGAAAAAAAGGGAGGAGGAGGGAGAGUAGGGUGGGAAGUAUCAUUAUGUUCUUAAAAUCAUAUAUAUAAAAUACAUGAAAGUUCUUUUAUAUAAAUAUAAAAAUUGGCAAAGAAUAAAAUAAAUUUAUAACUACAUACCUCCAGCAGGCUGCUCACACAUUUCCCUAGACUUCAUUCUCAUUCUGCCCUAGAAAACUUAUUUUAUUUUAUUUUUUUUAAAAUGUAUUUGAGAGGUAGAAUUACAGACAGAGGGACAGAGAGAAAGAUCUUCCAUCCACUGGUUCAUUCCCUAAAUGGCCAGAACAGCCAGAGCUGCGCCGAUCUGAAGCCAGGAGCCAGGAGCUUCUUCCUGGUCUCCCAUGUGGGUGCAGGGGCCCAAACACUUGGGUCAUCUUCCACUGCUUUCCCAGGCCAUAGCAGAGAGCUGGGUCGGAAGUGGAACAGCUGGGACAUGAAAUGGUGCCCAUAUGGGAUGCCGGCACUGCAGGCUGAGGCUUAGCCCACUGUGCCAUAGCACCCGCCCCUGGGGCUCUUCGGUUCGGGGAGGCAAAAGAAGGGAAUGAGUUUAAAAGCAUCAGUGUGCUGGAGAAGGUUCCAUUUCCUCUUUCCUGUCUGUUACACAUUCCCUGGCAGAUGGAGGGACAGCAGAACUAGCCGUACAGGAAGCCUAAUUUUCUCUCGGAUUCUCCAAAGCCUCGAGUUGGCAGUGACCUGUCAAUCAGCCUCAGAGGGAGGCAGAGAAGGCCUUGUAGGAAGCCUGUGGGAGUGGAAGGCUGUGGGGCAGGUGAGCACACCUUUACCUGUGUCUUGCAGGGACCUGGUUAGGGUCUCACCUGGACAAAUUUGCAUAUGAAAAGCAUCUCUGUGCCUCCUCUCCUAUCGGGUAGUUCCUGGGUAACAAGUUGCCUCUGCUUAUUGAAGGAGUCUGGCUCAGCCACGUCUACUCGCAUCUGCAGGCCGUGGUCCCCUUGAGUCCAGAAGGAGCCAGGGUCCUAGAGGAUCAGAGGCUCACAAAUAGGCCUGUAUUUUCCCAUGGCCACACCCAUGGCUACCUGAAGAGCAGAAACUGCUCAGAGAGUGGAUGUGGAGUUGCCUGUCUAUAAAGCUGGGAAGCUUCAGUGCCCAGGUGCUCUGCAAACCAGGAAGAGUAGGGUGACCCUACCCAGUCCCCUACAGCUGGCCGUGCAGUGACCAGGAGCUCCGCGCACUGCGAUCCUGCAAGAUUCCCAGUCGGAACCCAACUCUCCAACACCCCUCUGGCACUCAUUCCCAAGAAAGUGGUGACAGCCACCCAUGGUCCUGUCGUAGGAGGUCUGAUUUGGGGUGAUUGAGUUCAGUGUUCAGUGUAACACAGCCCCUGUCGCAGUCUUGCGUUUGUGUUACAAUAUCAGCGUGCAUCAUUAGAUUUGAUAAGAGUUCUCAAUUGCUAGUGUUGUUAGAUUUGAAUCUAAGGCAUUUCCUUUGAGACACACCUGAUGAAAUGACAGGAAUAUACUCCGUAUAUUGUGCGUUAUGUAUUAUUAUGUGUGUUGCAGUCUUCUUGUAUAUUUUGCACUCUUUUCAGAGCAAAGAGAAUACGGUUGUGCACUCAAAGCCAAGAACAUAUGCACAGUUCAACGUAAGACGUCACGAUUAUCCAUGCUGGGUAUUCACGCUGGGGUAGUGCUGGCACUUGGCCGUGUGCCCCCUCUAGAGGAGGCUGCUAAUAAGAAGUCGUCCAUGAAAAGGCCCCCCAGACUCAGCCUGCAGACUCCCCAGGAGCUGACAGUGUCCUGUUUGCUCGCGAGGUUGGGGCUGCUGUCUUGGACCCCUGACUGAUCUGGGGGGGGCGUAGCCAUUUUUCAAUUUUGUGUGUCACCUGGCUCUUGAAGCUUUCUCAGAUAUGUUCUAAAUAUAUGAUUGUGAUAGCAAGGGUUUUUAAUUUAUUGUGUCUUAGUCCAUUUUCUGUUGCUGUAACAAAAAAACUGAAAAUGUGUAAAGAAUAGAAGUUUAUGUGCGGGGCCGGUGCCGUGGCUCACUUGGUUAAUCCUCCGCCUGCAGCCCCAGUAUCCUGUAUGGGCACUGGUUCUAGUCCCAGUCGCUCCUCUUCCAGGCCAGCUCUCUGCUGUGGCCUGGGAAGGCAGUGGAGGAUGGCCCAAGUGCUUGGGCCCCUGCACCCGCAUGGGAGACCAGGAGGAGGCACCUGGCUCCUGGCUUCGGAUCAGCACAGCACCGGCCAUAGCGGCCAUUUGGGGUGUGAACCAAUGGAAGGAAGACCUUUCUCUCUGUCUCUCUCUCUCACACUGUCUAUAACUCUACCUGUCAAAUAAAAAAAAAAAAGUUUAUGUGGCCUAUGCGUCUGUGAACUGGGAAGUCCAAGAGUGUGGCAUUGGCAUCUGGCGAGGGCCUUCUCGCUGCUGGACAUGGCAAAGGGCGUCCCAUGGCAAGAAAGAGCAGCUGUGCCAGCUCGGUCUCCUUCUUCGUGUAAGGCCAUUAAUGGCAUCGUGGGGGUCCCUACCCUCACAACAUCCAAUGCCAAUUAUCUGCAUGGGCUGCAUCCCCACAUUCUAUUAAAACAUGAACUUAGAGACUCUGUGUCCAGCACAUGAGCUUUUAGGAAACACAUUCAGAUCACAGCAGUGGGGUUCCUUUCACUGUCUGACAGUUGAGGACAAAAGAUCGGGGUGGGGGUGGGAGCAAUCUAUCAAGACUGCCAGAAACACAGGGCAGGGCUAUUCCUACCAUCAAUUCUGGCUCUGAAGUUCCCUGUGGAAUCCGUCGCUGGUUCGCAUUUAUAUGACGACCGAGACAGUAAUUGUCUGGGCCACUUGAGAAUCUAGAGUCCACUUUGUGAUAAUGAACACCGGCUCCUUUGUGAUGUGAAAUGAUUCUACUCCCACAAGCCUCACAAGGGCUCGAUGUUCCAUUAUGGAGCCAGGAGACAUGAGCACAGAGGUUUUUGUUGUAGCUUAAAAUAUCCAGAUGAGUCAGGCAGCAGGGUGGGAAGGAAGGUAGGGAAUCAGAAAUUGUUACUGUAGGUCAGCCUCUGACUGUGGUUUGGAUCUUACUGUGUUCAGCUGCGCUCCCUCGUGAACCAACUCCCCAGACUCCCAAGGAUCCCAUUCCCCCAGCAAGAGGGAGCACUGUGGGUUCUGGCUGCUCCCUGGGCAUGGUGACCUUCAGGUAGAGAGGAGUGCACAGGGGCUUUGCCUGUCGACUGGGGAUUGGCUCUGGAAGCCCAAGCAAAGAUCGGAGGUGAAAGAAAAGUCUCCAUGUCCUAAAGAGGCAACUUGUUGACGCCUGCCCUGGGCUUUCUAAGAUAUGACUUCAGCGUUCCCAUUCUGAUGAGUUAGAUGCCGGCUGUCACAGCAGGGUGGGCCCCAGGCAAUAUCAGAAGGGGACAUCAGGAGACAAGACACACACAGAGAGAAGGCCCGGGCCCAGGCCCAGCCCCGGGAGCAAGGCUUUGGACGGAGCCAACCCUGCUGACACCCAGCGUGCCCUUACACAUUUGAUACAAGCUUUCUACAGCAUGGAGAUACAGAAAAUGGAUUCUGCCACUACCUUGAAUAGUUCUACUCCAAGGAUCGGGGGAGACGUGAACUGCCACUUGGUUGCUGAGCUCACAGGGACAGAUCUGCCACAAGGCAGAACCACAGGGGGAUGUGCACCGUCCCUAGCUCGAAUUCCAUGGACUCCUGUUGUCCAGAGGUUUUUGUUUGGCUGUUUGUUUUACUGAAAUAAUGCUUCUCAAUUUGUUAUAAACCCUUGGAUCAAGCUCAAAAAAUUUUGAAUGACUGUUACUGCUAAUUUUGAUCAGCUUCCUUGAAGUCUUUCUCAGGGAGUGGCUUCGCUGACCACCUCCCAUUACCACUCCGGAGUGCUGUCUGGGGAAAUUUGUUGUGCAGGAAUAGAUAAUUAACACAAAGGCCGAGGAAGGGAGUGGGACUAAAAUCAAGACGGGCCAUCAGUUGGCUGGAGAGCAGGGAAGGCAUUUUGUUUUUAAGAGAGAGGGAGAUAUAGAGAGAGAA